GCACUGCUGAUGUGACCAAACUAGGUCGAAACAGUUGUCCAGUGC
rnacentral:hammerhead_ribozyme from 1 species